CCAAAUUAAGUAUGAAGUUUUAUUUAACAAGACCUAUUUUUGACAAAACCAUGUUAACCAUCGUUAAUUGCAUUCAUUCCUUUAAUUUUUGUAUUAAUUGAAUCCCAUAUCAGAUUACUAGCUUUUCCAUUAAUUUUCCCUGGGGUUUUUGUGAUGAUUGCUGGCCUUAAGUUAGUUGGGUCAUCACAGCUGCCCUUUCAAAAGAAUGGUAAAAUAUUAGUGCUAAUUCAAGAUUUCUCUUAUUUAUCCAGAUUUUUAAACAUAUAGCACUAGACUAAAGAUCUUUGCUUAAGUUUUCUUUCAUCCCACUAUUUUCCCUAACUGUGUGUAAGUAGCUCCUUUGUAGUUCCAAGUAUGUAUAUAUUAGCAUAUGAUGUAAUUGUAUUUUAAUACUUUUACUGUUUGUAAUUUUUUAUGUCUUACACUUUUGAUUACUGUUUAUAAAUACAGAAAGUAAUCAGAGCACUUCCCUCAUACUAGACAGUAUGCAAGUAUGGAAAUUAAUUUGGUUUUUCCUGUUUAAAAUUAAAAUUAAGACAUCCCUAAUUACUGUGGAUACCUUUUGUGCUACAAACUUAGAACUGUUGAAAAUAAAUCCUGCCAUUGGGGCUGAGUGUAUGGGUGUCACCAGAUGGCACUGUUGCAAGUGUCUUGUUGAUUCUUUUGUCUGGAGGAGACUAUAUAAAAAUAGGCCUUGAAAGAUAUACUUAUUUUUUGUUUAGUUUUCCCUUACAGUAGCAUAGGCCAAAUCUAUCAUAAGCUAAAUAUUUUCUCACAGGCAUUGUAGUAGUCCAAAGGUUUUGCUUAUGAACUAGCUAAACAUACUCUCAGACUACAAACCUCUCAAGAGCCAGGCAGCCUAAGCAUUGGCCAAGACUAUGAUGUUCUUCAAUUACCCACAAUGUUUUUGGAAAGUAAGAGUCAUUUUUUAGAGGGCAAGAAGUUUAAGCAUCCUAGCAACAUUCAAAGCAUGCUGAACUACAAAAAUAUGGGAAAGACAUUCUAUUAUUUGCUCCUCUGAGUCAAACAGAAAGUACAGCUGGGUCGCUUCUAAUUCUCAGGAACUGUGGGAUAAGGACAGCCCAAAUACAAAGAAGUACUAAACUGGGUGUUUGGACAGCAGUCACUGCAAAUGGUUGCAACUUUAUUCAUAGAUCAGAUUGUUGGUUCUGCUGCUUGCAGAACUCCCUCACAGCUGGUGAAUGGUGCUACAAAUCCACCUCUGCUCUGAAAAGCUCCUUUUAGGCUAGAAUCUGCAAACGCAUAUGCUCAACUUAAAAUGUGUGAAAUCAGCUGCAUCUCACUGGAGCUGCUUGUAAACUUAAAGGAAUAAAAUGCUUGGGGAAAGGAAAUGUAAAGUAUUUGCUGGAUUAAGACCUUCAGUGCUGCAGUUUGGGUGUUUGUGAUAUACACAAUAUAUAUCAACAGCCAUUAAAAUAUGUUUCAGGAAAGAGUUCUAGAGAUUGAUUGUUUCUUCAAAAAUUACUCCAAAAAUCAAUCAGAACUGUUUUAGAAAUAUGCCUACUAUGCACCAAGAUCUAGUUUUCCUUUUUUUUAACAAAAUUUAUCAAUCCAUUAAGAGGAGACAAGUAAACAAAAAUGAAUUGUCAUUUGUGUUAUUUUAUUAGUGUCACAUGAGAUUACAGCAUAUUAUUGAUUUGAGAAUAUUUUACCCAAGGAGACUUGUUUUAACAUGAACAAAUCAGGAUCAAUACGGGAUAUGCAUUCAUUUUCAUAAAAAGCUACAAGGCAAUAUUUUUUUUCACAAAUCCCAUGAUUAUACUUAUGGCUUUGUAAAAAAACUAUCAUUGUGACCAAAUGAGGACCUAGCUAAGAUUUAAUUAUUAAAAAAUGGAUUAUUAUUUGCAUUGUUGCUUACUUUCCCAGGUGUAUUAUUUACUGACCAAAAGUAAUUUAUGUGCUCACCCGGUUAUAGAGUGAAGUUAGAUUGCCUCUGCAAUUUUUGCUGACUUUGCUGCCUUAGCUUACUUUAUCAAUUCUCUUUUUUUCCCCCCUUUUUUCAUUAGAGAUCGCAUAUAGUUUAAGGGCUGUAAUCUGAAACCUUACAGCUCUAGUGGAUACUUAAAAGACUCAUUGAUACACUUUGAAACCAAGUCAAUUGAACAGCAUUAGCAACAGCAGCAUCUAGCCAUUAGGCUAUUAGGAUCAUUUGCCGAGGCACUAAAAUUAAAUAUAGGGACUCUAGCAAUUCCCCAAUUAUAUUGUGUUUGUAUAAUGGCAGUGAAAAGGAUAUUAUUUUAGUCAGCUCAGUGCUACUAUUGCAAGAAUCGAGAUGCUCUCCAUUUUGCAGGUGUAGGUAUGUAUUGGCCAGGACACUGACAUUAAUUUAAUUCCCUUUGCAAG